rnacentral:rRNA from 1 species
ACCUACCCCGAAGAGAGGGAUAAGCUCGAGAAAUCGGGUCUAAUACCUCGUAAGCUCCCCUGGUUACGGCCAGAGGAGGAAAAGUCUAGCAAUAGAUUGCUUUGGGAGGGGCUUGCGGCCUAUCAGGCAGUUGGCGGGGUAACAGCCCACCAAACCUAAGACGGGUAACCGGUGUGAGAGCAUGAACGGUCAGAGGGGGACUGCGACACGGCCCCCACUCCUACGGGAGGCAGCAGCAGGGAAUAUUGCGCAAUGGGCGAAAGCCUGACGCAGCGACACCGCGUGAGGGAAGAAGGCCUUCGGGUUGUAAACCUCUUUUCCCAGGGAAUAGAGAGGACGGUACCUGGGGAAUAAGCCUCGGCUAACU